UUUGAAAUUUUUAUAUAAUUAUAGGUUAAAUUUUAAUUAUUUAAAAUGUAUAGUUAUAAUUUUAAAUUUUGUUAAUCGAAUUAGAUUAGUACCUAAUUAGUCAAAAGUUAAAAAAGCAGAAGUAAAGUAAAAUUUAAACUGAAAGAAUAUUGGCAGAUUUUCUAAAUUAUCUUUGGAGGUUGAGUAAUAAUUGAGAACCCUCAUUAACUACUUUUUUAGUUGUCUCAUGUAUGAUCGUUUAUUAUAUGCUUAAGGGAUAUAAUUAAAAAUUUUUAUUUAAAAAAAUAGAUAUAUAUUUGGUUUAUAUAAAAGUAAUAUUUGACCUACAGUAAUUUGUAAUUGUGGAUCUAUUUUUUAGUAAAGUAGUGAAAAUGUAAAAGACAGUAAAAAAAUUUUUAUGAUUUUUUG
rnacentral:rRNA from 1 species